rnacentral:tRNA from 1 species
CAGAGUUUAGUUUAAAUUUUAAAAUUUUGGUUUUGGAUACCUAAGAUGAUAUCUUCAGCUCUGA